GUAUGGCUGGUGUGCAGCACAAAGCAGAAUUUGGCCUGGAUAAUGUAAAUUUUGUUCCACAGGCUCUGAGCUUGUGUAGCCCUCAUGGGGGCUACCUUAGGGGAGCACGGUGCCCUUUCUGUUAUGCUGAGGCUGUCAAGAAAGCACUCGAGCGAUUUAGUCAAGUUUAUUGGAAAAUCAGUGGAGGAAAUCAGCUUGCGGGUCAUCUUGAAAGGUGGAUGAGCCUCAUUCCUCUUCUCCUUUUUCUGCUUUGGAAACUGGCAGAUCUAGGGGCUGGAGCAAUGGUCCAUUUCCCCGUCCUGUCGCUGACUCACAAGCAAGCCUGUCCUUGCCUCUUCCUCUUGGGUUCCCCAUCUGUGAGCAGAGAUAUUUAUUCAGCGGCUGAAGCCCACUCAGCAGUCAGAUGCGGAUCAGAAGAGACAAAUUUCUAUCAAGACCAUGACCAGCAGUUUUUACGGUACCUUCAAAACCUCCAGGGCUCAUUCUGGGAAUGGGCAGAGCUGCCCAAUGCCUUGCAAAGCUGCAGCUGAGUGCCGUAGGGGAUGCACAGCCAUCGCCCAGUGGCUGCAUCCAGGGCCAGGGUCCAAAAUCUCAGCCCCGAGCGAUGAGCAGCUGUUAUUACUCCAUCACCUGAGCGGCUCCAGCUCUGUGGCUCAUUAGCAGGUUGGAUAUAUUAGUAACUGUCAAACAAUUGGAGAGCUACCUUGUUGGGUGAAUGGAUGAAAACACAUUAACUCCCACAAAAGGGGGAGAGGCGGUGAUUAGCUGGUGAGAUGACAAUAUGAAAUGUCAGUGGCACAGACAGUAAGCACAACUGUUCAUUAUUAUAUUAACAGCUUUAAUUUUCUGCCUUUAAACAGCAGUUUCCUGUCAGUUCAAUUA